UGUAGCUUGCUUCUCAAAAGUAGGGUCCUUUGCGCUGGUGCCCAGCAGUUUAAGAAUCAGCAUCACCUGGGAGCUGGUAAAAUAUGGACUCUCAGCAACCCCAUCCGCCCACCACCCCAUUAAUGGAGGCAGAAUCAUCAUUUCCAGCAAGACCCAAGGCGGGGAUUCUCAUGCACAUUAAAGUGGAAGAAGUCCUGAUCGGUGGUUGGCGGCCAGUUGGGUACUCACCGCCCAGCCCUAGGCAGCUUCGGCUAAUUCUGCCAGCCACUAGCAUUCAAGCACUGGGGCCCUGGCUCUAGGAACAAGACGUGGAAGUCACAGCAGAGACAGGGACUCAUGAACGGCCACUAGGGAAUAGGAACCGAGAACACUCUUUCUGUGGCUUCCGUGAAACUGCAUUUUGCAUGUUCUCACCCCGACUUUGCUCUCCAUUUGCUCCCAGUCUUUCCCUCAUCGUUCAACCCCCUCCAGUGGCAACAAUGAUGGCAGAUUUUUCCAUUUCCCACCAGGCUGAGGGUGGCAACUCGAGCGGCUCCGGUGUGGGGCAGGCGCCGUACUGGACACCUGACUCACUUCUCAAUCACACCGGACCAUCGGGUCUUACUCCCUUUUUAACAGUAAGAGACACAAGGCUCCAAGGAGUUAAGUGAUCAUCUAAGGUUAAGGAGUGGUUAGUGGGAAUCCAGUUACACCCCAAAUACGGCCAGCAGGAGCCUGCGGCUCUCUGGGGGAAGCCAGAACAGAACAGAACUCGGGGAGCUGGAAACACCUGUAGGACAGCAGGAGUCCCUGUGAGGCUGGGGCCUUCCCGGGAGGGCUGGCGGGAGGCGGUGCUGCCGGUGGGCUCAGGUAGCAGGUGCGGUGGGAGUGGCUCAGCUGCUGGAAUAAAGCUGGAAAGAGAAAGGUUGGCCGGACGCCGGCGCGGAGAUCAGGAAGUGUCAGUAGGGUCAGCCGGGAAGCAUCUUGGCUCCGGAGACCGUUACUUAUUUCGUCUACAAGCCCCAUGCCCCCGGAUGAGCAAUUUUCAGGUAGGUAUUAUCACACUUUGUUUCCUCGCAGUGGACACUGAUGUAGGGUUUUUCUUGUUCUCCCUAUGGCUGGUGUUGUCUGCAGACAAAACACGGAGAAUCACGUUGGGUUAAGCGCCCCAGCUCUGAGAGCCAGGAGACGUGGACCCCAAGUGGGGCUCUUCCAAACACGUGCCAUGGGGCUUCGUGCAAGUUACGUGUCUCCUUGAGCCUCAGGUCCCUCAUCUGUGAGCGGGCGGGAAGUGCUGUCCAGCUCACUCAGUUGAUGUGAUGGCUGAAGAGACCGUGCCUUCCUGAACCUGCGACAGGCUGGAGGCCGAGGCAGAAGCGGGGACAAUGGUUUCCUACGCGAGGAGUUCAUGUGAAAGCCAAGCCUACUGCGUCCGUUCAACAGUGGAGCCUCAUCACAUUGCAACUAAGAAAACUUCCAUUCAGUAAACAUCUAUCGAGCGCCUGCUGUAUGCAAGGGAAUCUGAUAGGCAGCGGCAGUGUGGCUGGAGAGCAGAGACACAAAGCUGUCUUCGAGCCAGUUCCGUAGGACUCUUUGUGGAAAGUCUCAGCAAGAAAAUAUUUAUUCAGAAUUGGCAAAUCAAAGUCACCAGAUGUGCUGAAUCAUGAUUUUGCCUGGCAUUCAUGGCCAUGACAUUAAUCAAGCAGAAUUCUUCCCCAGUUUGCACAGGCACACUGUGUAUUUCAGCCUCGGAGACAAAAGAGAACCACGCCUAACCAACUCUCCAGGAAAUGCAGUUCUCAUCAAUGAAGCCGUUACUGAGUCAUCAACAGCGAGGAAGAUAAUUAUUCCCGAACCACUGGAUGAGGGAGCAGUUUGAUCCAAAGCUAUGGAUUUCCAAUGAAAGAAGGAACAACCUCUUCUGGCCACACAGCUGCUCAGCAGCCCUCAGUCUUGAACAUGUUGGUACAUGUUCAAGGACGUGUUCAAGGACUGCAGUUCGGCUGGACCAUCCUCCACGGAGCGUCUCUCUUGAGCAGGUGACAUUUCCAGCCGCUUCCCUGGGUUCGGCACAGGUCGGAUAUGACAUCGAGGUGCCCUCCUUGCUUCUGUGAAGACAGCCAUCCAGGCACGACGCUAUUAUGACAGCUGGGGAUCAUUUGAAAAUGAGCUUCACUUCACUUCGCAUAUCAGAUGAUAAUUUUAAAAAGCGGGUCCUCUUUUCCCCCCCCGAAG